rnacentral:rRNA from 1 species
UGAGGAAUUUUGGACAAUGGGGGAAACCCUGAUCCAGCGACGCCGCGUGAAGGAUGACAGCCUUCGGGUUGUAAACUUCUUUUAGAGGGGACGAAUUGCACGCAAGUGAGUUGACGGUACCCUCAGAAAAAGCCACGGCUAACUACGUGCCAGCAGCCGCGGUAAUACGUAGGUGGCGAGCGUUACUCGGAAUUACUAGGCGUAAAGCGCGUGUAGAUGGUCUUGCAAGUCGGUCGUGAAAGCUCCUGGCUUAACUGGGAGAGGUCGAUCGAAACUGCUUGGCUUGAGUGUAUGAGAGGAAUCUGGAAUUCCCGGUGUAGCGGUGAAAUGCGUAGAUAUCGGGAGGAAUACCUAUGGCGAAGGCAGGAUUCUGGCAUAUUACUGACAUUGAGACGCGAAAGCUAGGGGAGCAAACAGG